GUGCUCGCUUCAGCAGCAUAUAUACUAAAAUUGGAAUAAUACAGAGAAGAUUAGCACGGCCCUGUUCAAGGAUGAUGUGCAAAUUCGUGAAGUGUUCCAUAUUUGG